rnacentral:rRNA from 1 species
CAGCAGCCACGGGAAUACGUAGGGUGCGAGCGUUAAUCGGAAUUACUGGGCGUAAAGCGUGCGCAGGCGGUUAUAUAAGACAGAUGUGAAAUCCCCGGGCUCAACCUGGGACCUGCAUUUGUGACUGUAUAGCUAGAGUACGGUAGAGGGGGAUGGAAUUCCGCGUGUAGCAGUGAAAUGCGUAGAUAUGCGGAGGAACACCGAUGGCGGAGGCAAUCCCCUGGACCUGUACUGACGCUCAUGCACGAAAGCGUGGGGAGCAAACAGGAUUAGAUACCCCCGUAGUCCCUGUCUCUUAUAA